rnacentral:rRNA from 1 species
UACGGAGGGUGCAAGCGUUAUCCGGAUUUACUGGGUUUAAAGGGUGUGUAGGCGGGCCUUUAAGUCAGUGGUGAAAUCUCCGAGCUUAACUUGGAAACUGCCGUUGAUACUAUAGAUCUUGAAUGCUGUGGAGGUGAGCGGAAUAUGUCAUGUAGCGGUGAAAUGCUUAGAUAUGACAUAGAACACCAAUUGCGAAGGCAGCUCACUACCCAGAUAUUGACACUGAGGCACGAAAGCGUGGGGAUCAAACAGG